rnacentral:lncRNA from 1 species
GGCUAAAACAGCUCCAGGUAUAGUGCAAAGAAAAACAACGAAAUAACGCGGCCCGUUUGUCGCCAUGAGGGCACUCACUUUACUUUGCCUGUUUUGCCUUAUCUUGGAUGCCAUCGCAUUCAGAUUUCCCUUAAUAUGUCAUCUCUUCGGGAACACAUGUGUACCUGAAGCCGAUUGUCCCAAAGAGAAAAAGUCAUGGAUUUUUGGCUGUGGAGAUAAAACUGUUUGCUGUAAAACAGCGAAAACCCCAUUCUGCUCAACGUUGGGAGGGACAUGCCAAGCAGUUUGCGGCGGACAUAUAAGAAAGAAUGUCACCUGCUCUGGACUAAAAACAUGUUGCGUCUACACGAGCAAAAGCGAGCAUGAUACUGUUCA